AGUGAACGCUGGCGGUAGGCCUAACACAUGCAAGUCGAACGGCAGCACAGUAAGAGCUUGCUCUUACGGGUGGCGAGUGGCGGACGGGUGAGGAAUACAUCGGAAUCUACUUUUUCGUGGGGGAUAACGUAGGGAAACUUACGCUAAUACCGCAUACGACCUACGGGUGAAAGCAGGGGAUCUUCGGACCUUGCGCGAUUGAAUGAGCCGAUGUCGGAUUAGCUAGUUGGCGGGGUAAAGGCCCACCAAGGCGACGAUCCGUAGCUGGUCUGAGGGGAUGAUCAGCCACACUGGAACUGAGACACGGUCCAGACUCCUACGGGAGGCAGCAGUGGGGAAUAUUGGACAAUGGGCGCAAGCCUGACCCAGCCAUACCGCGUGGGUGAAGAAGGCCUUCGGGUUGUAAAGCCCUUUUGUUGGGAAAGAAAAGCAGCAGGUUAAUACCCCGCUGUUCUGACGGUACCCAAAGAAUAAGCACCGGCUAACUUCGUG
rnacentral:rRNA from 1 species